rnacentral:rRNA from 1 species
AGCGUAGACGGAUGGACAAGUCUGAUGUGAAAGGCUGGGGCUCAACCCCGGGACUGCAUUGGAAACUGUCCGUCUUGAGUGCCGGAGAGGUAAGCGGAAUUCCUAGUGUAGCGGUGAAAUGCGUAGAUAUUAGGAGGAACACCAGUGGCGAAGGCGGCUUACUGGACGGUAACUGACGUUGAGGCUCGAAAGCGUGGGGAGCAAACA